rnacentral:rRNA from 1 species
UCGACUGUUUAUCAAAACAUAGCCAUAAGUAAACAUUUAUGGUAUUAUCUGCCCGGUGAAAAUUUUAACGGCCGCAGUACCUUGACUGUGCAAAGGUAGCAUAAUCAUUUGACUUUUAAAUGGAGCCUGGAAUGAAAGAAAGAACGUAGACAUCUUGUCUUGCUAAUAAUAUUUUAAAAUUACUAUAUGAGUGAAAAUACUCAUUAAUUAUAAAAUAGACGAGAAGACCCUUAGAAUUUUUAAAAUAUGUAAGUAGGUCUUAUAAGGUUUUUUGUUGGGGCAACAAUAUUUCAUAAAAUAAAUAUUAUGAGGAUGGAUAAGUCGAUUUAAUAAUUAUAAAAAAAUUACCUAAGGGAUAACAGCAUAAUUUAUAGUAAGCUUGUGAC